CAGGCCUCACAUAGGGAGCUGGAUGGGAACCUGGCACGUUCAAGUGUCUGUGACCCUCAGUUGAGCAUCCAUGAAGAACAGUGUGAACCAAAAGGCUCAGAGGCAUAUGUCACGACAGGACUGGCAAAUGCUGAGACCCACUGUGAAGCGACUGGCUGCAUCCCUGGACCACUCAGCUGCUGUAGGCAUCGGGGGAACUAGCAGAUGCGAAUCCUGUCUCUCUCAAGACAAUUAACAAGAACAACAACAAAAGAUUAUACGUCUCAGUGAUGUUGUAGCCAUCUUACUUUGUGUAAUGCUUACAGAACAACAAACUUACACACUUCUCGGAAGAUAUUCCUGUUACUAGAUGGCAUCUGAAUGAAUGUUAUUUCUUGCACAGGAGGUGGCUGAAGCACCAAGAAGACAAGUGUGCCAGCAAGGCUUCACAGUGGGCUUGUUUUUUCUGGUUUCAGACCAUGUCCACCACAGCCAGGCAAGUCCCUCUGCAGGGUGCAUUUCAUGCGCUUGCAGGGGACAGAAGAGUUCACCGUGUGGGAAUAUGGGGCCCUGAGCUGUUAUGCAAUGUGGUUCAAAGUGGAGUCUUAUGACACAAAGGAUCUUACAUGCAGUUAGCAAAACCUCAUUACCUCAAUGCUUUUUGUACAACUUGUUUAAACAAACAGUAAAAGAGUUACCUGUAAUUUUCUAGGAAUACCUGGAAAAGAACCAGUUUGGUCUGUUCUAAGUACCAUUAUCUCUCAUUUGGUGAAAACGCUACUUGUUACAUUUGAGAGAAAGCGCGGGCUCUGAAGGAGACAACUGCCAGGGGGAAACGAGGACAGGGACUUGAUAAAGAUUCAACUUAUUCAAAGGGAGGCUAUCUUUUUCCAGUGGAAUACAGAUCAAAGCCAUUAGAUACCACGGAAUUAUAAUAAUAAAAUUAAGAUGCUCCGGAUAAAACAAUUCAUUUCAGUUUAGUGCUCCAUCAGCUGGGGGCUUACUGAAGGCGCUUCCCACCAAGGCAGCCACCACCCAGCCUCACACACUUACAGAUUCUCUUCUGCCCACGGUUUUGCUGUGUGUGCGGGCACGAGAGAUAUUGCUG